rfam:Otolemur garnettii contig022598, whole genome shotgun sequence.
ACCAGGUACAGUGGAGCGUGCCUGUAGUCCCAGCUACUCGGGAGGCUGACAGGAUUGCUUGAGUCCAGGAGUUCUGGGCUGUAGUGCACUAUGCCAAUUCAGUGUCCAUACUAAUUGCAGCAUUACUAUGGUGACCUCCCAGGAGUGAGGGGCCACCAGGUUACCUAAGGAGGGGUGAACCAGCCCAGGUCAGAAACGGAGCAGGUCAAAGCUCCCGUGCUGAUCAGUAGUGGGAUCUCAUCUGUGAAUAGCCACUACACUCCAGCCUCAGCGACUUAGUGAGACCCCCUCUCUU